rnacentral:rRNA from 1 species
AUACGGAGGGUGCAAGCGUUAUCCGGAAUCAUUGGGUUUAAAGGGUCCGUAGGCGGACUAAUAAGUCAGGGGUGAAAUCCCACAGCUUAACUGUGGAACUGCCUUUGAUACUGUUAGUCUUGAGUUAUAUGGAAGUAGAUAGAAUGUGUAGUGUAGCGGUGAAAUGCUUAGAGAUUACACAGAAUACCGAUUGCGAAGGCAGUCUACUAUAUAUAUACUGACGCUAAUGGACGAAAGCGUGGGGAGCGAACAGGAUUAGAAACCCCAGUAGUCC